rnacentral:rRNA from 1 species
CCUACGGGUGGCAGCAGUGGGGAAUAUUGCGCAAUGGGCGAAAGCCUGACGCAGCGACGCCGCGUGAGGGAUGAAGGUCUUCGGAUCGUAAACCUCUGUCAGCAGGGAAGAACGGUCACUGUGCUAAUCAGCAGUGAAUUGACGGUACCUGCAAAGGAAGCACCGGCUAACUCCGUGCCAGCAGCCGCGGUAAUACGGAGGGUGCGAGCGUUAAGCGGAAUUCCUGGGCGUAAAGCGCUCGUAGGCGGUAUGUCAAGUCAAGGGUGAAAUCCCCGCGCUCAACGGGGGAACUGCCUUUGAAACUGGCAAACUGGAGUGUGUGAGAGGAGAGUGGAAUUCCAGGUGUAGGAGUGAAAUCCGUAGAUAUCUGGAGGAACAUCAGUGGCGAAGGCGACUAUCCGGCACAUAACUGACGCUGAGGAGCGAAAGCGUGGGUAGCAAACAGGAGUAGAUACCCCAGUAGUC